rnacentral:rRNA from 1 species
UACAGAGGUCUCAAGCGUUGUUCGGAUUCAUUGGGCGUAAAGGGUGCGUAGGUGGCAUGGUCAGUCGGAUGUGAAAUCCCUCGGCUCAACUGAGGAAGUGCAUCCGAAACUGGCAGGCUUGAGUACUAAAGAGGGUCGCGGAAUUCCCGGUGUAGAGGUGAAAUUCGUAGAUAUCGGGAGGAACAUCGGCGGCGAAGGCGGCUUCCUGGCCCAUUACUGACGUUCAGGUACGAAAGCGUGGGUAGCAAACAGG